UACGAAGGGGGCUAGCGUUGUUCGGAAUUACUGGGCGUAAAGCGCACGUAGGCGGCUUCUUAAGUCAGGGGUGAAAUCCUGGAGCUCAACUCCAGAACUGCCUUUGAUACUGAGAAGCUUGAGUCCGGGAGAGGUGAGUGGAACUGCGAGUGUAGAGGUGAAAUUCGUAGAUAUUCGCAAGAACACCAGUGGCGAAGGCGGCUCACUGGCCCGGUACUGACGCUGAGGAGCGAAAGCGUGGGGAGCGAACAGG
rnacentral:rRNA from 1 species